AGGAGCUCGGCAAUCAAUAACUUAAAUUACAAAGUAAUUGCACAGGCAUUCACAGCACGCUGCGCUUUCUGCGCCUGCCACCAGCAUCAGUGGCAGUGGGAUCCCGAAGGGGCAGGAUGCAGGGGCAGAGUCAUCGCCAUCGUCGUCGUCAUCAGUAUCAGAUUCAGCAUCGGCAUCAGCAUCAGCAUCAGACUCGGAUUCAGCAUCAUCCGCAGCACCUGAGGUUCUCGGCUCUCGUUCGCCGCUGGCUGUCGUCACAAAUGUUACACUUGAUGGUAAUGAUGAUGGACAGAUUGGUACCAAAGUCACUCAAAAAGCGUUGCCGUUGCCAGCUCCGAUUCUGAUACCCAGACAGCGGCUAAAGCCAAGCCUCAGCCGCGGGCUCUGGACCCGAAGUUGCAGGCCAUCGCCAAGACUGAGACUCUGGCUGAGACUGAAGCUGAAGCUGAGACUGGGGCCAAGCCAAUCCGGUAGCCGGUCUGUCAAUUGAAUUACAAGCUGGCCGAGCAAAUGCUUUCUGAUCAACAUCACAGUCACUGACUGUGGAUGUGGAUGUGGAUAGCAACUGCUACCGACUGACGACUUGGGACUCCAGAUUGCCGACUGCGACCCAGUCGCUGCCAGAGUCUAAAAUUAAAUAUUGCAGCACCCGAUGGUAAAAUCAGUCAACGCACACAUAUAUGGUAUAAUCUAUAUUUAAGUGUUGACACAUUCGACUCCUGGUCAGCCGAAAUCGAUGCGAGAA